rnacentral:lncRNA from 1 species
AGGAUUAAAACUUUGGUCCAGAAAUGCUACUAUUGAAGAUUGAACAAAGAAAGCCAAUACAUUUUAGUGUACUUGAUCUUGAUGUCUAUGUUGUGUAGUUGUAGCAGCCCAAAAAUGAGCUGCUGACAUUGUUGUGAUUUUAACCUUUAGCUCCUUCAGUUUAUUAGCUGGUUGAGUAUUUUCCCUUCAUUUGUCAGUUAACUGGAAGUAUGCUUAGGUCAAUGUUUGUAACUUUAAUUUUAAUUAGUUCCUCCUAUGCUAUCUACAUGCUAGUAGAAAAUAUAACAUUGGUCAAAUGUAAAAAUACCAAACAUUGAUCCAAUCUAGUUAAACUCCUUCAAGCAGGGGUAGAUACACCAGCUUCCUCUGACAGCUGUCUCGGGACAGCGCUUCUGUCACGAACCGAGCCGAGGCCAUCGCCGCGAUGGGUUUCCGAACCACGAAGGCCUGAGAGACCCCUUAGCAUACUAUCAUAAGCAUAAUCUAUACAUAAAUCAAAGUGUGGAAGAGAUAACAAAAUUCAAGUUGAUCCUAUGAUCAAUAUAUGUCAAUAAAGUUAUGUCAAUACAACACUCAAAUUCCGUCUACAAAGCCUCUACUGUCGAGAUGAAGACUAUUGAAAGACUGCGUGAGGAAAUUGGACAGACGAUGAUGCUUAAUGUGAAGAAAGACCCAACAUCUGCAAAGGUACCUGAAACUGGUGGUCCGGUUAAGACAAGCUUUUUCUUUGGAGGCUUACUGGAAAAGUUCCUAACUUAAAAGUUCAUCUGUUGUGAGCUUACCUACUUAUAUAGAAGAAUAAAGCACUUAAUUAUAAGUCAAACGCAUAAAUGUGGCAAGGUUUCCCUGUAAAAAUAUGUGUAGAUACAUUGGACAAUUAUCCUUGCCAGGAUAAACAAAGGGAAAAAGAUGGGAAGAAAAAAGAACCUGCCCCAUUCAGUCUUAUUCUGUGCUGAAGUGUGGAAUUAUCCAAUGACUGUGUGCUGCUCUUGCACAAUAAAAGAUGAAAGUAUGACUUUAGGAUUAAAACUUUGGUCCAGAAAUGCUACUAUUGAAGAUUGAACAAAGAAAGCCAAUACAUUUUAGUGUACUUGAUCUUGAUGUCUAUGUUGUGUAGUAGUAGCAGCCCAAAAAUGAGCUGCUGACAUUGUUGUGAUUUUAACCUUUAGCUCCUUCAGUUUAAUUUUUAGCUGGUUGAGUAUUUUCCCUUCAUUUGUCAGUUAAUUGGCAGUAUGCUUAGGUCAAUGUUUGUAACUUUAAUUUUAAUUAGGCCCUCCUAUGCUAUCUACAUGCUAGUAGAAAGUAAAACAUAGGUCAAAUGUAAAAAUACCAAACAUUGAUCCAAUCUAGUUAAACUCCUUCAAGCAGGGGUAGAUACACCAGCUUCCUCUGACAGCUGUCUCGGGACAGCGCUUCUGUCACGAACCGAGCCGAGGCCAUCGCCGUGAUGGGUAUUCCGAACCACGAAGGCCCCAGAGACCCCUUAGCAUACUAUCAUAAGCAUAAUCUAAACAUAAAUCAAAGUGCGGAAGAGAUAACAAAAUUCAAGUUGAUCCUAUGAUCAAUAUAUGUCAAUAACAACUCCAUUAUCGAUAAUUCAGCAACUCCAUUAACAACAACAACAAAAUCACUAAUCAAUCUUCACCAUUGAAGACAACAUCAAAGAAAGGAGAAACUCCAUUAAGCACAAAAUGAGUAACGAUUCUUCACCAUUGUCAACAACAUCAAAGAUGUGGAAAAAAAAUUCUUUCUUUUUUACAAAAUCAGUUAACUGAUUAAGAAAUCUUUUUUUCAUUUAUUAAUGGAGCUGCUGAUUCAACAACAAUUAACUUUUAAUACUCCCUCCGUCCCAUUUUAUGUGUCAUCAUUUCCUUUUUAGUUCGUCCCAAAAAGAAUGUCAUGUUUCCUUAUUUGGCAAAUAUUUAAAAACACAACUACACUUUUACCCUUAUUGGUCCCACUUAAUUAAAAAAAAAGAUAGAAACACAUUUUUUUAUAAAGGACAAUUUGGUAAAUAUUAUCAAGUCUUCCCUUAUUUCUUAAACUCCGUGCCCGAUCAAAUGGCGACACAUAAAAUGGGACGGAGGGAGUAAUGACCAUGAGUUUGCAUAAACCUUAUCGCUUUGAGAAAGACCCGACAUAAAAUGAAUCGAUAACAUAUAGAAAGCAUAGUUUCUUAGAACCAAACAUAAUGUGAGACAUGGAUUUAUGGAUCAUGAGCAUCAUAACAUAGAGCUUAAAUACUUGUAAGCUUGGAUUGUUAAGAGACAUUAUGUCUUCUAGUUUUGAGGUCGAAACAUGACAUAAGUGUAGGGAGAACUCAAACCUUAAGCAUAGGCAUUGAAGUAGGAGGAGUUUGCUUGAAUAGGAAUAGAUUUAUCAUGACUCUUCCCUAAAACUCGCCACAAUGACAUAAUUUAAGAACUACCUUAAUUCACCAUCUCCCUCUUAGAUCAAAGUCACAUUCCUAGAUUUACGGACAUAUCCUCUCAUCAGAUCUAUAAUCACAACUCUCAACACAAUUGCGGGGGAGGGGUAUCACUAUACAGUUGAACAUCAGACUCGCCCUCGCCCUGCCCUCGCCCUGAUAAACUAUAUAAGAAAAGUACUAACUUCUUGCUAAGACAUUCCUUCCAAGGGCACUACUCUCAACUUCGUCUAGCCUCCAAGCUUGAACUCUAACCUCACUGCCUUUCAACCUUAGUUUGGAAAUAAAGAGUGACCCUUUUGAGAGAAAGCGAAAGUUUUAAGGCUUAAAGACGGGCUAUGAAAAGAUUGGAUGGUUUAUAGGACAUAAAAGGACCAAGAUAACCUUAAUACACUUUAAAAACGAACUCCCGUCGACGAAAGAAGGGAGGUCCUUGGCAUGAAGCCCAAAGUGAACCUCCAGCUCUGCGGCGCGAAGCCCAAUGCAAAGCAGCAUCCGCGAUGCAUAGCCCAGUGCGAAGCUGAGGUAGUGAGCCGUCAUGGCUCCCUUGUGGUGCGAAGCCACUGUAAACUCACCUCUUUGCGACGCACAAUCUAAUUUCCAUGCCCAAACUUUCCCCAAUGCAUUAAAACCUAUCUCAGGACGUCUUAUAUUCAAUCUUGGGAUCACGUAAGCUCGUUUUAAGCACAAUUUAGACUCCACAAACACCCAACUGUUACAAACUCUUUGCUACAACACUAAUCCUCGUAUCCAUAUAUAUAUAUAUAUAUAUAUAUCAAAAAUUUUCACUCAAACUUCUUAUAAGUUGUCAACCUAGGCCCCUUUCACACAUUACAUCAAGCCUACUAAUUCAUUCCCACAAAUCUUGCAUCACAAUUCUUCAGUUAACAUUCUUAUCACCACAAUCCACAUCCAAAGUUCAAGCCUAGUUCCUAGCACCAAUCGUGUACCACCAAUGAGAUGUCCCACAUCAAAUGUGUAUGCAAAAAUUGGAACGAUCUUAUCAAAAACUCGAGUUCAUUGAAAAACACUUCAACAGUGAUGGUAAUCGUCUCCGUCUAACGAUUUGCAAGUUUGGUGUUAACAACCAGAAAGAUCCCAUAAAGAUUUUCGAUGCGUACUUGCUCCCUGAUAAAUAUUUACCGGAUGUGUCCCUACUCAUCAGCUGAUUUACCGUUGCGAUGAUGUUGGUGAUUUUAGAUGUAUUUAUGGUCCAAUUAAUGGCUUAUUCUUAUUAGAGAAAGGACAUUACAUAGAUAACGGUCGAUUUGUCUGAUGGAACCCUGCAACGAAAGAGUGUAGGCUUAUUCCUCGUGCUGUUUUCGAGGUACAAAAAUAUUUCGAAGACAACAAGCGUAGUGUUGGAAUAGGAAUAGACCUAGCGAAUCAUGAUUAUAAAAUCAUAUGGGUACGGUUAUUUUGGGAUGAUUUGCAGAGCGAUGUUUUCCUUAAGGUUUAUGCUGUUGUCUAUUCGACGAAAAAUAACUAAUGGAAGCACUUGGAGCCGAAUUUCUCACAUGAAUGUCAACUAUGUUUAUCCCAAAAUUGUACCUACAAGAAUGGUAUGUACUAUUGGAUUAGUACUAGCAGGAGGUUUUGCAAUAGAGAGAAAAACGUGUAUUUUAUUCGAACAUUUGAUUUUUCAACUGAAUUAUUCGGGCAAUUGGAAGGACCACCAAUUCCAGGUGACCAUUGGACAUCGUUAAUGUUACGAGGUAGUACACUUGCAACUAUGUCUAGUGAUGAUGUUACACAGGAAAUGACGGCUUGUUACGAUAUAUGGGUAAUGAUUCGAGAAAAUAAUUGGAUCAAAGUUUAUACUGUGAAUCCAUCAAUACCAUCACAUUGGCCUGUUGGGAUUUGGGAGUAUGACAAGUUUAUUUUUGAACACACACAAACUUGCAAGUUGGUGUUUUAUGAUCAAACAGCUAAACAACUUACAAGUUUUGGAUUUCAAUUUUUCGAACUAGGUUGUGGCUCCGAUUGGGCUAUGAGUUAUAAGGAGAGCUUAGUUCCGAUAAGUAAAGAAAAACCGACUGAGAAGGACAAUGUUGACCUCUUCUUGAUAAAGUUAUAAACAAGCACGAGCAACGAGUUAAAGUUCGAAAAAAGUCUUUUUUAUGAUUCGAUCAUUUAUAUGAUUGAGCUGUGAAAACUUUUGCAUAGAUACCCUACAUCAGAAUUCUAAGCUGAAUUAUUUUUGGUUGAAGAAUCUCUUUCUAGUUGCUUUGAAAUAAUUAGGAGAUUCUCGAAAUACGCAAUAUCCCGCUUAUGGAAUCAAAUCAAUAUGUUCUCCCGGAGAAAUGUGAGGAUGAUAUUGUAAAUGUAGAGGUCAAAUGUUUGAAUAUGGGUUUUUGUUCCUUAUUUUGCAGUAUUUUUUUUAUUUCUCUGAAAAGAAAAGUUCAAAUUUUUGCGAUCCAAAAAACAUGUUCAUCAGGAAGUAUUGAAAUAUUGAAAACUUCAGAAUCCUUACAAGAACUCUUAGAAAUUGCCAAACAAUUUUAUUACAAAUGGACUAGUCAGCUUCAAGGUGUGUUUGGAUAAAUAGUUGGUGAUAGUUCAAGUAGAAAACACAAACAUUUGAUAGUUCAGGCAGAAACCUCGCAAAAAUGUGAUACUUCAGGUGUGUUUUUGACCAUUAUCUCUUUAAUUAAUGGUGAUUAUAUUGAGGGUCCUACUAAUGAAGAUGCCUCAAUUUCAACCCAAAUUAUAGUUGCAUAAGGCAAUUAGGUUUAUAUCAAUUGCAAAUGAAUUCAACUAAUGAACAACGAGCUUGUUAGGCCAAGUUUUUACUUUUGCCAAGAUAGCUUUUUCAGAAAAUAUUUCCUGAGAGAUGCCGCUUAUGUUUGGCCAAUCAAUUGCUUUUCCUUGUAUUUGUUGAUUCAUUUGUCGUUUUGAUGAAUAACAAACAAAGUUUAUUUGUAAGGAAAUUACGAAGUUGGUCUAGUUAUUAAAUUAAUCAGAAAAAAUUGUUUUGAACAUCUAAAGAACAUAAGAUUCGAAUUGUCAUCACACAUAAAAGUCAUAUUAUUAACUAGGAAAGUUAGGCAGCAGUUGGAAUCAAGGAUCUAUUUAUUCAGCUAAAAGAUACAAUUUAUAAGUGGUGGAAUACUAAACUUAGACCACUACUUAUUACCGCACCUGUUUUUAUACUGUGUCAACUUUGGAAGAAAAGAAAUACCAUUAAACAUGGAGGUAAGUUGUCAAUUCAUGGCAUGAAACUUGAAGUGAAUAGGAAUAUCCAUCUUUUGGUAAGAUAAGGUAUCCUUCAUUUAGAAAUCUGCCUAAUAAUUAGUCUAUGUUGGUCAUGAUUCUGGAAGCUUACAAGCUUAGCAUUCAGGCUACUAUGGUAAACUGGAAACCCCUGAUCAUUGGUGUUAUCAACUGUAAUUCCGAUGGAGCAUCUAGAGGCAAUCCUGACCCUAGUGCUGGUGCUUUCUGUAAUAGAAAUAGUGAAGGUGAAUUCAUUUAUGCCAAUUCUUUCAAUUAUGGUAUAUUAACUAGCUUGGAGGCAGAAGUUUGUGCUUUUAAGAGGGGUUUGGAGUAUUGUGUCACUCUUAUCUUAAAGAAGAUCCUAGAUGGAGUUUGGGAAGUUCCUUGAAAGAUUGCAAUGGAUAUUAGGAGGAUUCUAUGGUAGAUGAAACAAUUUCAGGUGGAAGUGGUGCACACACAAAGGGAAGGAAACAAACUGCCAAAUUUUUUUGCUAACAAAGUUUUCUUGUUUGCAGGAUAUCAAAAUAGAGAAUAUAAAUCACUGCAGGAUAUUAUAGGCGGAGAAAAAAUAAUUGUAACAAUGGACAAGUACCAGAUACACUCAAUAAGGAUUGUCAAAUGCCAGAACAAUAAUUUUUAUAUCUAAAUGGCAACCAAGGUAGACUACAAUUCAGAUGUAAACAUAGAAGAUAAACAUCUACAUCGAUAAACAUCUAUAUCUAUUCCAAUCUAGAUCUAGAACAUAUUAAAAGUGUGAAGACCUUAGAAAAGUGAUUUGAAUUUUUUUGCCCUUCAUUAAAAGAUUCUGUAAUAGAUAAAAUCGUCUUUUCAUAUUUUUCUUCAAUUUAUAUUAUUGAAUAUUGACUACAAUAAAUACAUAAAAAAGUAAAAUGGAAAAGAUUUUCUACUUUAGUUGAAUUCCUAAAUUUAUGGCAAUAUUUUGUUAGAGAGAAUCCAACUUCAAAGAAAUUAUAUUAUAUAAAUAGGUUUUAAUAUUUUUUUUUUUUUAAAUUGACUAUUUUACAUAAAAUAGAUUAUUAAGACUCCUAAAAGAAGAAGAAAGAAAAUUCUUCCAAAAAUAAUUGCAAUGCGUGUAUUCCAAUUAAUAAAGGAUAGUAGACUUCAUAAAUAGAAAGGUACUAUUUUUUUAAGUUAGGAUUAUUAUUCUUUUGUUAUAAUAUUUUAGUUUAGAAGUUCUUGUAUUUCUUUCCUUUUUCCAAUUUUACAAGUCUUUUUUUAGGUUUAUACGUAUACAUUAUUUGGAUAAUAUUACUUUAUUGUGCUCGUAGCUUUGUUAUUGGGUAACUUUGUGAUUUUUCAAUUUUAAAUUUUUAUUUAUAUUACGUUUUGAUUUUAUUACUCAUAAAUAACAAAUCAUCCUUUUAUGUUUGUGAAUAGAUUAGUUAUUGGAUCUCUAAUAUAAUGUUUUAGUUUAAUUUCCAAGUUUCGAAUUUUCUUUUCUACUAUGCUGGUUUUGUUGAUCAAAACAUCUUUUCGUGUUUGUAUAUAUGUAACUUUCAUCAUUGAAUCUACAACGUAACUUUGUUGUUUCUAGGUUUCAAGUAACUUUCGUUAUUAAGUAACUUUGUGGCUUCUAUUCAAAUAAUAAGUUUAUGAAUUUUUGUGUAAAGAUUAGGUUUAAUUAUAUUGUUUUGAUAUCUUUAUUAUCAUAUUAUCUUGUUGUAAUUUACAUGUAGUAGAUAAAUAUCGGUCGGUUUUGAAAAAACUAUUUCAGUAAAAGAUUAGGCUUAAUUGCAUUAUUUUGAUGUCUCUACUUUGAGAAUUUUUUUAUUGUAUAAAGGUUAGAUUUGGUUGUAUUGUUUUGAUGUCACUAUUAUCGUAUUGUUUUAUUGUACUUGACAGGUGGCAGAUGAAUGUCGAUCGACUUUGAGGAAUUCUUUUUGCAAAAGUUAAGUUUAAUUAUAUUAUUUUAAUAUCUCUAUCAUCGUAGUAUUUUAUUGUACUUUAUAUGUGGUAGAUAAUCUAUUUCCAUUGGCUUUGAGAAUUUUUUUUUGGUAUAUGUUAGGUUUAAUCAAACAAAUUCUCCAUCUCUACAUGUUCAAAAAUAUUGAAUUUAAUUAUUAUCUCCUUUUUUAUUAUUUAAACAAAUAUUUUAUUUAGUAUAAUAUUUGAACUCAUUAAAUUGAGAUACACGCGCGAGACGCGUAUAACUAGACUAGUACAUACAAUGGCUCCGAAAUCAAGUCGAGGGACAAUGGAUUAGACAGGCAAUAGCAAAAAAUCGGGUUUUUUUAGUCAUCAACAUAAAAACAUGCAAACAAGUGCAUUUCAGGAUUUCGAUUAAGAUUUGCAUCUUACCUUCUCCGGAGUUAGUAGAAUCAACUGAAUCAGUACUCUUACGCAGUGGUAUCAGUUCCCCGUUGAGCUCAAUCUGUCGAGGGUAUGACUUAGUCGAUUUGGUUGCUAUAGAUGAUAGGUAAUUGAAGGGCAAAGUACGAACAACUCAAUUAGUCAGUCUUGUGCUAAGAAGAGUUGAAUAAGUCUUUCUAUGGCUCGAUUUCAUGGCAUUUGUGACACGUUGGUAAAUGUCCGAAAUGAAGUCCACCAUAACUCAGCUUUCGAACAAUUUUGGCAUUGUUUUCAUAGAUCUGUAGUUAUUUCGCACACACCGUCGGCAAUCAGAGCAGUCUCAGCGUCGCCAUAUCAGAAAAGACGAUGCUCAGUAUCCACAAUAUCUAGAGACUUCCUAGCUCCCUUUCUAUUAUUUUCAGAUUUUAGUAGUUGUCUUUUUGUUUUUUUU